rnacentral:lncRNA from 1 species
GUUGAGAUUGCAAUGGCUAGCACCAACUAAAGUCCGUGGAUAAGAAAAAAAGGGAUGUGAGAAGUUGCAAGAUAAUGGCUCAAAUAGAAGAGGUCAAUGAAGGAAGGUUGCAGAUGUGAUCAGGGAAGAAAGUAGACUGCCCUUUUCUAUUAAGGCAAUUUUCAAAUAGUUUGAUAAAAAAUUUUAUAGUAAUAAUAAGAGCAAAAUUGUUCUUUAUGACAACGUUUUAAUAGUGAUGAAUGCUGAAUAGGGC